rnacentral:lncRNA from 1 species
UGUGACUGUCUUUUCAUUCCCCAUUCUAGAAGAUUCUGCCAGGCACUCAGUGCUGCCCACUGUAGAGUCACAUGGAGAGGCACUGAGAGGAAGGGAGCAAAGUUACAAAGGUUAAAGUGAACGGAAUGCCUCUCAGAACUGGAAGAUCACCAUUUUCUGCAAGUACUUAAAACUCGGAUGCAGUGAGCACCCUGCCUGUCAUUCUCUGCAAUUUUCAAUCACUACAGCCCAGGGCAGCAAGAAUCCUCGACGGCCAGCAGGGUGGAAUUACACUGUUGGACACUGUGGAGAGGUCCAGAGAGGAAACUCUGCCAAUGCCUGUGCUUGAACUUGGCCUUUAAGCCCUGUGACUUCUGCAUAAGGAAGAAGUCAACUCUCCAUCUUUCAUGACUGACGUAGCCAUUCAUCUCUGGAAGUGGAACCCUUCCCUAUAGUUUCCACAGGAACCAUUUCGUAUUUAUCCGAGUUUAUUGGACCCUACGAUAGAAGAAAUGAGGAACAAAGAUCAAGAAAGUCUCCUAUCGUAAGUUAUUAUGUCCUCACCAGAUGGAAGAAAAAUUUACAAGUCUUUUUU